CACAACGACUCUCGGCAACGGAUAUCUCGGCUCUCGCAUCGAUGAAGAACGUAGCGAAAUGCGAUACUUGGUGUGAAUUGCAGAAUCCCGUGAACCAUCGAGUCUUUGAACGCAAGUUGCGCCCGAAGCCAUCAGGCCAAGGGCACGCCUGCCUGGGCGUCACGC
rnacentral:rRNA from 1 species